GACGAACGCUGGCGGCGCGCUUAACACAUGCAAGUCGAGCGAGAACCAGGGCUUCGGCCCUGGGGACAGCGGCGAACGGGUGAGUAACACGUGGAUAACCUGCCCUCGGCACCGGGAUAGCCCGGGGAAACUCGGAUUAAUACCGGAUGGCCCUUCCGGCUCACGAGCCGGUCGGAAAAGGUAGCUUCGGCCUCCGGCCGAGGAUGGGUCCGCGGCGGAUUAGCUUGUUGGUGGGGUAACGGCCUACCAAGGCUCCGAUCCGUAGCUGGUCUGAGAGGACGAUCAGCCACACUGGGACUGAGACACGGCCCAGACUCCUACGGGAGGCAGCAGUGGGGAAUCUUGCCCAAUGGGCGAAAGCCUGAGGCAGCGACGCCGCGUGAGGGAGGAAGGCCUUCGGGUUGUAAACCUCUUUCAGGAGGGACGAAUGCCCCGCAAGGGGAGUGACGGUACCUCCAAAGGAAGCACCGGCUAACUCCGUGCCAGCCGCCGCCGUAA
rnacentral:rRNA from 1 species